GUCUCAAAGAUUAAGCCAUGCAUGUCUAAGUACAUACUGAAAUAAAGUGAAACCGCGAAUGGCUCAUUAAAUCAGUUACGGUUCCUUAGACUGUACAUUCCUACUUGGAUAACUGUGGUAAUUCUAGAGCUAAUACAUGCAUCAGAGCUCCGACCUUCGGGGACGAGCGCAUUUAUUAGACCAAGACCAAUCGGGCUCAGGCCCGCAAAUGGUGGUGACUCUGGAUAACUUUCAGCUGAUCGCACGGUCUAGCACCGGCGACGUAUCUUUCAAGUGUCUGCCUUAUCAACUUUCGAUGGUAGGUUAUGCGCCUACCAUGGUCGUUACGGGUAACGGGGAAUCAGGGUUCGAUUCCGGAGAGGGAGCCUGAGAAACGGCUACCACAUCCAAGGAAGGCAGCAGGCGCGCAAAUUACCCACUCCCGGCACGGGGAGGUAGUGACGAAAAAUAACAAUACGGGACUCUAUUGAGGCCCCGUAAUUGGAAUGGGUACAAUCUAAACCCUUUAACGAGUAUCCAUUGGAGGGCAAGUCUGGUGCCAGCAGCCGCGGUAAUUCCAGCUCCAAUAGCGUAUAUUAAAGUUGUUGUGGUUAAAAAGCUCGUAGUUGGAUCUCAGAUUCAGACUGGCGGUCCACCGCCCGGUGGUUACUGUCAGGACUGGACGUUUGGCCGGAUUCCUUUGAUGCUCUUUGCCGAGUGUCUUGGGUGUCCGGCACGUUUACUUUGAAAAAAUUAGAGUGCUCAAAGCAGGCGUACCGCCUGAAUAAUGGUGCAUGGAAUAAUGGAAUAAGACCUCGUCUCUAUUUUGUUGGUUUUCGGAAAACGAGGAAAUGAUUAAGAGGGACAGACGGGGGCAUUCGUAUUGCGACGCUAGAGGUGAAAUUCUUGGACCGUCGCAAGACGAACUACUGCGAAAGCAUUUGCCAAGAAUGUUUUCAUUAAUCAAGAACGAAAGUUAGAGGUUCGAAGGCGAUCAGAUACCGCCCUAGUUCUAACCAUAAACGAUGCCAACCAGCAAUCCGCCUGAGUUCCUCAAAUGACUCGGCGGGCAGCUUCCGGGAAACCAAAGUGUUUGGGUUCCAGGGGAAGUAUGGUUGCAAAGCUGAAACUUAAAGGAAUUGACGGAAGGGCACCACCAGGAGUGGAGCCUGCGGCUUAAUUUGACUCAACACGGGAAAACUUACCCGGCCCGGACACUGGAAGGAUUGACAGAUUAAGAGCUCUUUCUUGAUUCAGUGGGUGGUGGUGCAUGGCCGUUCUUAGUUGGUGGAGCGAUUU
rnacentral:rRNA from 1 species